UACAGAGGGUGCGAGCGUUAAUCGGAAUUACUGGGCGUAAAGCGUGCGUAGACGGCUAUCUAAGUCGGGUGUGAAAGCCCCGGGCUCAACCUGGGAAUUGCAUUCGAGACUGAAUAGCUAGGGUACGGUAGAGGGAAGUGGAAUUUCCGGUGUAGCGGUGAAAUGCGUAGAUAUCGGGAGGAACAUCAGUGGCGAAGGCGGCCAUCUGGGACAACACUGACGCUCAGGCACGAAAGCGUGGGGAGCAAACAGG
rnacentral:rRNA from 1 species